UGUUCCUGCAUAAACAUCAG
rnacentral:misc_RNA from 1 species